ensembl:lncRNA
GGGGACUGCCUGCAGGCUGGGCCUGGCUGCUCAGGUGGGGGAGGGGAUGCCAGCCAGACCUGCUGGGAGGGGAAGCAGAGACCCAGGCCUGGUUUCCCACCAGUUCUAGGUCAGGAUCACGCUGGGUCCCCUGAGCUGAUGUCAGGGCGUUGCUUCUGGAGGGUCUGCUCCUGCCUUUCCCGGCGUCUUGAGGUCGCCCAGAGUCCUUGGCUUGUGGCUCCUGCCUACGUCUCCUAAGUGAGUCCUCCUCCAACGUCUCCUUCUGACCCCGCCCCUCCUGUCCCCCGUCAUAGGGACUCACCAGGUUACCCCGGAUAACCUCCCACUCUUCGCAUCCUCUUCACAUCCUCAACUCCGCCACGUCCCGCUCGCCACGUAAGUCACGUGGUUGCAGGUGCCGCAGGUUAGGACGUUCGCAGCUUUAGGCCACAGAGGGCGAGGCUUGGCCCCAGUGAUGGCUCCUCCCGGGCUCCCCCUGGAGGCCAUGGCAACUGGGUUAGUGGUUGCAGCCGCUGAGGCCGAGCCCGGGGCUGCCCGGGGCCGAGGCAGGGUGCUGGGCGUGCUCCGGCAUCCAGGCAGGGAAACAGACGGACACAGCACGGAGAAACUGCGGUCAGGGCAUACGUGCACCCAAAGUCACGGCAACUGAGCUGGGAUUUAAUGCAUGUCGGGAAAAAGCUCUCAGGAGGGAAACGAAGAACUUUCUGAAAGCUCUCAUAGGGCUUCCCUUAUGACUCAGCGGUGAGGAGGCUGCCUGCCAACGCAGGGGAUGCAGGUUUGAUCCCUGGUCUGGGAAGAUGCCACAGGCCGCCGAGCAACUGGGCCAGCGCACCGCAACUACUGAGCCUGCGCUCUGGAGCCCGGCAACCGCAAGGACUGAGCCCACGCGCAGCAACUAUGGAGGCCGCACACCCAGUGCCGGGCCCUGUCCUAAGAGAAGCCACUGCAGUGAGAAGCCAGCGCACCGCAACUGGAGAGCAGCCCCCGCUCACCGCCACCGGAGGAAGCAACCAAGACCCGGCACAGCCAAACAUAAAUAAAUUAAUCUUUUAAAAAAAGCUCUCAGUUGUUAAAUACUAAAAUAUGUUAUUUCUAAGUCCAUCCAUUAUAAAUUUCCCCCUGAACGAUUCCCAGGUAAUAUUAUCAGCAACAAAUUAUAAACAACUAUAAAACGGCUCAAGAAGAGAAUAUAUAUUACAGGAGUCCCCUUUUUUUUUUUUUUGGGGCAGAGAGGCUUGAGGGAUCUUAGUUCCUAGACCAGGGAUUGAACCCAGGUCCUGGUAGUGAGAGAAUGGAGCCUCUUGGGAAUGCUUAGCAAGCUGUCCUUUUGAAAUGAGAGCUACCAGAUGGGAUACAGCAAAAGUAUUGGAGCUUCAGCUUCAGCAUCAGUCCUUCCAAGGAAUAUUCAGGGUUGAUUUCCUUUAGGGUGGACUGGUUGGAUCUCCUUGCAGUCCAAGGGACUCUCAAGAGUCUUCCCCAGCACCACAGUUGGAAAGCAACAACUCUUUGGCACUCAGCCUUCUUUAGGGUCCAACUGUCACAUUCUGGUAAGAUGGGGAUGAGAAGGCGGCCCAGGGAGAAAUCCCCCAAACUCCCACAGCGACUCAGUGGCAAAGAUGGGGUUUGAACUUGAAUUUGGAAACCCCAUGGACUGGACAGAGGAGCCUGGGGGGCUACGGUCCAUGCGGUCACAAAGAGUUGGACACGACUUAGCGACUAAACAAUGCCCGAAUCCAGGCCUUUGCUUCCCGGGCCCGUUCAUCAUCCAGCCAUGCCCCGGGUGGCAGCCCAGUAGGCAGUGGCCGAAGCCCAGCCAGGCACAGGGCUCAGAGGGGGCACCAGGCCAGCCGCAGCACGGUAGCAGCGGGCACUGAGUGUGGCGGCCUGCAUGGGCAUGACCCGUGCCAGCAGUAGGCAGC